CUUCACUGAGAGCUUUUGCUUAAUGACUUUCUAUCAAUGCUAUUAUAACUUUAUCAAUAUCUCCAUCUAGGCAGUAAAUGACUGUAUUUGCCUCUGGAGUCCAGAGCAACCAAUCAUCAUCGCAGCCAAUUUAGUGGCAUAAAUGAACAGUUUAACUUUGAACAAAAGGAAGAUCUGCUCUGUGCAGGCCUGGGAACGGUAUUGCUGCUUCAGUCGGCGGCUCGGCUCCAUCUCUGGACGAUUUGUCUAAAACCGACAACUUCAUCCUUAAUGUGCUUCACUUUCCUCAUUUCUCCAAUUUUUCUCCUUCCUCUACAGAUGAAGUCGUUUUUCAGACGUGUGAAGUUAUCACGGAUUCACUCACUUCCCAGCACCUUUCACCAACAGAUUGGAGUUUUACUGAGACAAGAACAUUCCUCAAAACGAAGCGCGCGCAGUAGAGGCAGUAAAAACCUGAGGAACGUGGCUGGAGACAAGAAAAGCUCUUCCAGGGCAAAGAAACAUGAAAUAUGCUGUGAGGAGCUUUUUCUGCUGCUGAAGUUGUGUGGACGCAGUGAAAACACUGAUCUGCUAUUCCUGUUAUGCUGCAGAGUCAGACUGUGGAAGGAAUUAAUACGGGGCUCUCCUCCCCCCUGUGGGCAUCGAGUGAUGCUGUGAAACCAGGUCAGGAUGGCGGAGGCUGCUUUGGAGCUGUGGAGGCGUGAGAUGCCAGGGUGGGGGAGUGGGUUUCGUUCUGCAGCCGCUAUAGCAGCUGAUGAUUCACAGCUCAUCAACACCAGAGAUCACAACAGUAUUUCCUCAAUUUGGAGACCUCAUGCAAAAUGUCCCAUCUGGAAAACCACCAGUUAACCCACCUAGCAGAAGGAAAACAAGGUGAAAGCUUUUCCAUUUGUCCCGGUCAUAUCUGGGCCAAAGUAUCAAAAGCUGCACUCCCGCGUAGGGCUGCUGCCUCCCGGCGAGGAAAAAAAAAAUCCUCAGCCUGAAUCCAGUCUUGAGCACAAAAUGAACAUGUUUUUUUUUCUGUUGGCUUCUUCUGGUGUCCCAGAUUCCUCCAACAUGCAGGUUCAGAGAGAAAGAAGAAAGAACGGCCAGAAGUGUGACCUUGAAUCAAAGUGUCUCUUUGCGUUUCCCGUCUCAUGCACUGAUUUCAACUCAACAACAGAAAGGAACAGCUGAAGAUGCCCAGCAACUUCAAAACUUGGCUAUUUUCUUACUCAUUACAUACGUUAUGAAUCAAGCAAAACCUUUUUUCAUCUGUGGCCACUGCUACCUGCUUUAGAGGUGAAGGUUAGGAACGGUCUAUGGACUAAAAAAAUGCUCAUUACAUUUUUUGCGUAAAAUAAUUCUUAGAUGAUGAGAUGUCAGUCUGUUCAGUUUUGAUUUUGGGAUCCUUUCACUUUAAAUCUAAAUAAUCUGCUGCUGGCCACGCCCCCAACUCAGCAUCUACACUCGCAUGCGAAACUGGCUGCGAAUUACAGAACAAUACAUCUUUGAAAAGCAGAGCCAAGAAGAAUACAGCAAAUGGUUUCUAAAUGGUAAGUCAGCACUAAAACACUUGUCUUUUCUAGCAGGCGCUUGGGUUGCCAGGUGACGGGCGGAACUUGGCUGAGGUUGCUAGGUAACAGGCUGGGGUUGCUAAUUUCUGACGUUACGUUCCGAUGUUUUUUCAAACGGCCCACUUUUCAGACACCUAAAAACAUAAACUUUCUGUAAAAAGACAGCCUGUUGUGUUUUU